rnacentral:rRNA from 1 species
CGAACGCUGGCGGCAUGCUUCAUACAUGCAAGUCGAACGAUAAGGUCUCUUCGGAGAUACAUAAGUGGCGGACGGGUGAGUAAUAUGUAGGAAAUCUGCCCUAGAGAGGGGGACAACAGAGGGAAACUUCUGCUAAUACCCCAUAUGAGCGUACCUGAAAUGGUAUUCUUGAAAACUCCGGCGCUCUGGGAUGAGCCUGCAUCUGAUUAGCUAGUUGGCGGUGUAAUGGACCACCAAGGCGACGAUCAGUAGCUGGUUUGAGAGGAUGAUCAGCCACAAUGGGACUGAGACACGGCCCAUACUCCUACGGGAGGCAGCAGUAGGGAAUUUUGCGCAAUGGGCGAAAGCCCUGACGCAGCAAUGCCGCGUGAACGUAGAAGCCCUUCGGGGUGUAAAGUUCUGUCAGUGGGGACGAAUUUUGACGGUACCCACAGAGGAAGCACCGGCUAACUCCGUGCCAGCCGCGGC